GCUCACCUUUCUCACCUUUGACAGCCUGCUCAGCAGCCACUCUCAACCCAACAUGAGUUCCCACCAACCUGGGAGGGAGACCUUAGCUCCUCAUCGUCCCCAGUCAUGGUGACAAUAUUCAGGAAGAGAUCCAUUCUGAGCAACCCCACAAGAUUUCCCUUGACGUGCAGCAUGGCAGAGAGGUAGCUGGACCUACUGGACUUACAGCUGAAGGAGCCCAGGCAUGAGGAAAAGCACCUUUGGAAUGAGCGACUUUUAAGUCCACCGCAGCUCUACCCCAGGGGUCAGUUGGGGGGAGCUACAAAGUGGCCGAGAGUCACCGAGAGGACAGCACUUUCCCAACAUCUCUCCUCCCCCAGGGCAAAGCAAAUCAGAAACAGAAACAGAGAAAAACCAUCUGUCUGUUUGAAGAUUCACUGCUGAAAGAUCUAAUUGUGAGCAUAGGGAUUUACUUAUUUCAUAAAAUGUUAUUGAACACCUA